GGUCCAUGAGUCCCAGAACAGCCAUCCCACAUGGUGCAGCCAUUGUCUUGCUGUAGAAGCAGCUCAUUGCCCAGCUGGAAAAGCAGCUGCAGGCUGAGAGCGAGGAGAUUGAGGUGCUGCGCCAGGAAAAACAGCGCCUGCAAGAGGAGCUGGAGGAGCUGGAGAUGGAGAAUGCCUGCUGAGUGGGACUGGGCCCUGCAGCCCAUGCCUGCACCUGGGGCAACAAUAGGGCUGCUGGGCUUUGGGCUCGGCUUCCGUUUGGCAUGUGGCGUGACGGAGCAGCCCCAUCCCAGCCCCCUGGGGUGGGCACACACUGCUGGCGAGCCCCCGCGGUGACAGAGGCCGCCUGUGCCACUGCACUGCCAGGCUCCCACUGUCCUGCAUGAGCCCUGGCUGUGCAGCAGGGCCUGACCACCAUCCCUGCCCCGUGUUCACCUGCGGGAGAAGAAGGAGCAGGUGAGGAGACGAGGGCUCGCCUUCUGGAUGCAGUGAGUGUCCCCUAAUUGCCCCGUGCCCAGCUGCCAGCAGCCGGGCUCCCGGCAGGGGGCUGAUGGCCUGGACCACCACUGCCACCAGCAGGGCUCAAAACAAAAUGCUAAGAACAAUAUAUCUAAAACAAAGCUAUUUCUACUCUUGGAUUUUAAACACUUGUGAUUUGUGAGUCCAUUUUGGACUUUGUUUUGUUGUAAAAGGGGCUUAUUUAGCACUGUGAUCCUAUCAAGGCACUUCCAGCUCAGAUAACGAGACCUUCCUCCAGUGCUUCUAUCCUUUGAUGUAAUAAAUACACACUCUGUUACUCUGUUUGACAGAGGAGCCCGGGAAGACAUUGAAGAAGUUGAAGUAGCUUUGGAGAUGGAGUGCCUUAACUUCUUUCGUGUUACAUUGACCAAUUUUUUCAGAGACUGUGGGUAGUAUUUGUGAAAUUUUUUCAAAAUAAAAAGAAGUCCGAAAAUAAAUCCAGAGGUAUUAUUUAGUGAAAUACAAGUUUAAAUUAACAUCUCUAUAUCUUUCUACCUCUAUCAUCAUUCCACUGGUAUUUAUUUGUAAUAUGGUACCCUUGUCUCCCUAAUACAGGAGGGAGAGAAGGUUCUUUCAAUAUACAUAUGCCUGAUGGCGAGAUUAGGGGACGAUGGGUGAAAUGUUAGCCCAACCAGAUUACUACAAAUCCUAGUUGUUGAAGGAGAUGGGGAAGGGAAGGUGGGUGAUAAAGACAGGAAAUAAAAGCAAGGAGUCUUUGCAGAAAGCAGGAGAGAGAUAGUCACCACUAGGUUUGGUUCAUAGUUCAGACACUGAUCUUCAGAAGUGACGGGUUGUCAAGGGUUGUUGUUUGGUUGAUGAUGACAACAGUGGCAGCAGUACCAACUUCUAUACAUAAGUCCAAAGUGAUCGAGUCAGCUCUCUUUGGAGUGGCAGCUUCUGGCUUUGGGAUCUCAGCAGAAACUCCUUUGUUCCCAUCUUCCACACCUUGUCAGCAAAGAAGAGGGAGCUGGGAGGUGCUCACCUGCAUCCUGUUUUUCACAGUAUGUGAUGGUAUAAUUCCCCAGUCUCCCACACGAAGCUGGAGUUAUUUGCUCACAGGCCAGAUCUUCUGCUAGUAAAAGCUCCUGAGAACUCUCUUCUGAAGGCAAAGAGUUCCAAAGGAAAUGCUUUCAAAUGUCCACAAAGUUAUGUUGAUUGCCACACGGUGACACUCAUCAGUCACCUCCUGGAUAAGUCAGAGUCUUAUCCCAAAAAAUACCUCAAAAAGCAAGCCUGGAGCCAAGAAAAAAAAGGGUUCAGACCCUUGUGUAUUGCCAUACUUAACAAGAAUACUCCUGCAUAAUUGUCAAUCACUGAUAGUAUUCCUGUUUUAUGUACUAACUAGAUGACAGAACUCUUGCAUAGAAUAGUAGUAUUAAAGUGCAAAGUCAGACACAUCAAUAUUUGCAAAUGCUAGAUUUAAUAUUUCCCAAUGAAAUGUUAUUCAUGUGCUAUUGAGGAUCCAUUAUUGUACAGCCUUGAAUCAUAUGGUCACUUGCUAUUUUUUGUCAAGUCUUCAUCUUAGGUACGGAAUGUAAGUCGCUUACUUAGUCAGCUUUUACAUUUUUCUGUUCUGUGAACAGCCCGAUACCUUAUUUACCGCAUAGUAUUCCAACUGUGCUUUGAAAACAGAAUAAUCAUUGAAUCACCAAGGUUGGAAAAGACCUAAAAGAUCAUCCAGUCCAACUGUUCACCUAUUCCCAAUAGCUCCCACUAAACCACGUCCCUCAACACAACAUCCAGCCUUUCCUUGAACACCCCCAGGCUCGGUGACUCCACCACCUCCCUGGGCAUCCAUUCCAGUGCCUGACCACCCUUUCUGAAAAGUAAUACUUCCUGAUGUCCAGCCUGAAUCUCCCCUGCCGUAGCUUGAAGCUGUUCCCUCUGGUCCUAUCACUAAUGACACGAGAGAAGAGGCCGACCCCCAGCUCACUACAACCUCCCUUCAGGAAGUUAUAGAGAGCAAUGAGGUCUCCCCUGAGCCUCCUCUUCUCCAGGCUGAACGUUCCCAGCUCCUUCAGCCUCCCCUCAUACGGCCUGUGUUCCAGACCCCUCACCAGCUUUGUUGCCCUCCUCUGAACGCGUUCCAGGGCCUCAAUGUCUUUCUUGCAGUGAUGGGCCCAAAACUGGACACGGUACUCGAGGUGCGGCCUCACCAGUGCUGAGUACAGGGGAACUCUCUGUUCCUGCUUGCAACGCUGUUUCUGAUGCAGGCCAGGAUGCCAUUGGCCUUCUUGGCCACCUGGGCACACUGUCGGCUCAUGUUGAGCCGAGCAUCAAUCAAUACCCCCAGGUCCAUUUCCUCUACACAGUCCUCCAGCCACACCGCCCCAAGCCUGCAGCGUCGCCUGGGGUUGUUUGUAGCCGAAGUGCAGGACCCGGCAUUUGGCCUUGUUGAAACUCAUCCCAUUGGCUUCAGCCCAGCUCUCCCGCCUGUCCAGAUCUCUCUGUAGGGCCUCGCUACCCCCAGGCAGAUCCACACUUCCAGCCAAUUUGGUGUCAUCUGCGAAUUUACUGAGGGUGCACUCGAUGCCCUCAUCCAGGUCAUCAAUAAAGAUAUUGAAGAGGACAGGCCCCAGCACCGACCCCUGCGGAACACCACUCACGACCGGUCGCCAGCUGGAUUUAACUCCAUUCACCACCACUCUCUGAGCCCGGCCCUUCAGCCAGCUCCUCACCCAGCCAAGAGUGUACCCAUCCAAGCCUCGGGCUGCCAGCUUCUGCAGGAGAAUGCUGUGGGAGACAGUGUCAAAGGCUUUGCUGAAGUCUAGGUAGACCACAUCAACAGCCUUUCCCUCAUCCACCAGAUGGGUCACUAGAUCAUAGAAGGAGAUCAGGUUGGUCAAACAGGACCUGCCCUUCACGAACCCGUGCUGGCUAGGCCUGAUCCCCCCCCCGGUCACCCCGCACAUGCCGCAUGGUCUCCCUCAAGACAAUCUGCUCCAUCACCUUCCCUGGAGUAGGGGAAAAAUGCUUACCUGCUGAGGUACCUACUUUGUUCCCCAUAUCUGCCCAUUUAUAGCUUACUAAUAGCGAUAGAUGCUAAAAAUGUCUCUGUGUGAGAUCUGAGAAGUGAAGAGAGAGGAUGAAUUUAUCUUCAGGGAAGAAAAGAAAAAAGACAUCAUGCAUGAAAUAAGGUAUCAGACCUGCUUUGUGUAUUACCUUUUGAGACUGUGUCUUUCUAAUGAAGGAUCCUAGCAGAGACUGCAGAAAUGCAAGAAAGACUACUCAGAGUGGCAGCUGUUUCAUCUGCAGGAGAUGGAUUGGGUUCUUUCUCUGGGUCCAUGGGCCAGGGAUCUAGUGGGUUGUCUGACCCAUCCCAGUGAUUAUUUAAGGUUGCACCAGAAUGUUUUUAACUCAGGACACUUGACUCAGAUGUCUCUCACUCAGAGCACGGGAAAAAUGGUGCAGAGUGAAAGCAUGAAGGAAAUGAAAGAGCAGCUACAGGUGUGCAACGGCUCCUUUGUGUAUUUGUCCAUAUCAUAUUCAUACGAAGGCUGCAUCUCUUCUUUCACUCAUACUGCCUUGUAACAGUUUUCUGAUGCUAAUCCUAAAAGCAUUCUAAUCUUUUAUUGAUCAUCUGACACCUAUAGCUCAUCUCAUUACUCUUCAAAAAUCCUGCUAUCAACUUAGCCUAUUUCAGUAAAAAUGCACAUGUAUUUCACAACUGUCACCAGCACACACUCCUUUUGUUGAUGAAUUCACUUUGAAAUGCUUUUUUUCAUGUCUGUUCUUUUGACCUUUUAAAGACCUGCAAUAACAUCGGUAAUUUCAAAAUUUAGUAAGAUUUAUUUUUCCUUACAGAUCACUGAUUUGACAAAACAAUGGCUUAAAGGACCUUCCAUAAUUUCACAGGCAAAUAUCGGCAACUCAGUGUGGAAAGGCAGUUUGGACAACCAUGUAGCUCUCAGCUAUCUUUGGGAAUCUUUCAGACUUUGGAGGCAAGAGAGAUGUCCUCCUUGGAGACAUUUUCUUUGUUUCUCAUUUGGUUUCUAGUGAAGAAGCAAUGGAAAUGGUCUUUUUAUCACAUCUUCAAGCAUAGCAAGGAUUAUGAUUUUUUUCUGUCAACAUGGAUGGCAAUCUUUUACUCUUUACUAUGGGUGUAGAUAAAAUGUCUUGAAUGGGAGGCCUUAAUCAUUUACAGAAGAAUGUUUUCUUAUGAGCACAGUGGAUAGAAUCACCUUGGAUUUGGUGCCCACUUUUAUGCAAUUUUCCCUCUACAGCAACAAAAUUUGGUCCCUGCUAAAACAUUCUAUGUUGGUUUUCCUUGUAUUCUUUCUCAUUUAGCUCUCCCACUGUUACUUCAGUGCUUUCUUCCCUUCCCAUCCCUGUACUUCUCCUUGAUUUCUGAUCUCCACUCCAGAAAGACAUAAUAGAACUGGAAAUAAUUCCGAUAAAAACAAACAAACAAACAAGCAAACAAACAAGCAAACAAAAAACACCAAAAAAAUGGAACGAAUAAAGGCCGAAGAAUUAUAAAAUUACAGAAUGGUAGGGUUUGAAAAGGGACUUCUGGAGCCCAUCUGCUCCAAGCCCCCUGAUAAAGCAAGUUCCCUCCAGGAUGUCUUCACAAGCAGUUAAUAAAGGACUUUUCAGCUUGCAAAAUACAUGGUUUAAAUGCAAUAUUAUAGAGCUCUAUUUAAAAUACAAAUAAUUGAGAAAAGAUCAAUAGGAAAUUAUGGUUCACUGUAUUUUCCAACACCAGAACUGUGGUACGUCAAAUAAAACUAGACAACGGUAGCUAUGAAAUAACUAGAAAGUGACAGCUUUGGAAUAAAUAAGAAGAGGUGACUCCUCAUCCUGAACGCAAUUAAAUUGGGGAAUUUCUUGAAGGAGAAGGAGGGAAAGCAAUGGAAUAAAUAUCUGGGAAACUUUUGUCUCAGGAAAUUCUUAACCUAUAUAUGAAUGAAAAUCUCAUGUAAAUAUAUCGAAAUAUCAUGGAGAAGUAUUACUACCCAUUUAACUUGUUCUUACAGCCUUACCUACCGACCUACUACUGGUUCUUACCUGAGGAAAGGCUAAAUGUAUCUUUGUUUUUGGUUUGGCUGUUUUUUCAUCUUGCAGAUAGUCUUGUAGACGUGGUGUGAGGCUGUCAGAUUGAUUGAUUGAGUACAGUCUCAAUCAAGCAUGUAGUUUUGUUCUACUUUUCUCAUUGCGUCAGUAGGCAGCUCCUCAACUUGUAAGUUUCAGGUAACCUUCUUGGAAUUCAUACUGUCUGAAGAAGGCUUAGUAGAAAGAGGUUUGAGUUGUAAUGCAUUCAGGUUAUCAACUUUUGCAGCUGACUCGGUUUCUUGGAGUUUCUGAUAUCUUUGGCAAGUUUGAUCCAAAUCAUGCAUGGGAACAAAAAGAAAAAGGGAAAAGGGAAAAAGGGAAAAAGGGAAAAAGGGAAAAAGGGAAAAAGGGAAAAAAGGGAAAAAGGGAAAAAGGGAAAAAGGGAAAAAAGGGAAAAAGGGAAAAAGGGAAAAAAGGGAAAAAGGGAAAAAGGGAAAAAGGGAAAAAGGGAAAAAGGGAAAAAGGGAAAAAAGGGAAAAAGGGAAAAAGGGAAAAAGGGAAAAAGGGAAAAAGGGAAAAAGGGAAAAAUUCUCGAAGGCAUUCAUUCACAGAAAUAUGUUCUUCUCCCUCAUGUAUGACAUUUUCUCCCAGAAAUACCAGUUUUCUCACUUUUUCUUCCAGAAACACGAUUCUAUUCCCCUAAAUAUGUUUUUUUCACCAAAAAACGAUGACAUUUCCUCUCAGUACUCCAUGUUCUCUUAAAAAUACAUGCUACGCUCUCCCUGAAAUACUAGCAUUCUCUCAAAUAUACCACGUUUUCCAACCAAAUAUGUGAUAAUCUCCAAGAAAUACCAGUUUUCUUGACAAUAACUUCCAUUUUCUCCAAAAAAUGCAGACUUCAACUGUUCAAUAGGACAUUUUCCACCAAAAAUAGGAUACAUUCUCCCCAAAGGAACAGUUUUCUCUCAUGCAUAUUCCAUUUCCUCCCAGAAAUACCACAUUUCAACCCUAAAGACCACAUUGUCAUCCAAAAUAUUUUGGAUAUUUUCUCCCAGAAACACCAGUGUCAUCCCAACUUGAUGACAUCUUGGACCAGCAAUACCACUUUUCUCUCCCUAAUAUUACAGUUUCCUCCAAAAAUAGAUCUUCUUCCAGACUUAUCAGCAUUCUCUCCAACAGAUGACAUUUCCCCCCAGAAAGAAGACGUUUUCUCCCUGAAAUACCAGCUUUCAAAGCAAUACCUCCAAUUUCCCCCCAGUAGACUACUUUGCACACCUUCAUAUGACACUUACUCCCAACAAUACGGCAUUUAUCACAGAAAUGCCACUUGACUCCCAAAUGUGGGACAUUUCCUGCCAGAAAUACCACUUGGCUCUGCAACAGAGGAUGUUUUCUCCCAGAAAUACCAGCUUUCUCCCAAAUAGAUGAUCACCCCUCCCCCACUUCCCCAAAAUAUGAUACUGUCUCCUGGGAAUACCACUUUUCUUAGAAAUACCUCAGGCCUUCUCCAAACAAUACGACAACACGACAAUCCUCAAGGUGACAUCUUCUCCCCAAAAGAUGACAUUUUCUCCCAGAAAUGCCAGUUCCCCCCCCAGGUACCGCAUUUUCUUCCAAAAAUAAGACAUUCUCUCCCCGAAAUCAUGGCUUGCUCCAAUAAAAUGACAUUAUCUCCCAGAAAUACCAGUUUUCGCCCAAACAUAGGACAGUUUCGAUCAUAAGUAUCGCAUUUCAACCUGAAAGAGGACACUUUCUUCCCAACAUACGGUAUUUCCUCCCAGAAAUCCCACCCUUCACCCAAAUACAUGGCAUUUUCUCCCACAAGUACUACUUUUCCAUCAAAAAUAAGACACUUUCUCCCCCAACAAGGAUCUUUUCUCCCUGAAAUACCAGUCUUCUCCCCAAAGAGAUGACGUUUCCAACCAGAAAUACAGGUUUUCUUCAGUACACUUCAUGUUUCAUCCACAAAAUACUAUGUGACAGUAGCAAAUGUGACAUUUUCCAACAAAAAUAUGAUAUUUCCUCCCAGAAAUACCAGCUUCCUCGCAAUUAUGUGAUCUUUUCUGCAUAAAGAAGACAGUUUCUCCAGUAAUACCUCACAUUUCAUCUCAGGAGCACUACUUUACACUCCUCAAUAUCAUGUUUACUCCCAUCAAAAUGACAUUUGAUCACAGAUAUUCCAGUUGUCUAACAAAGAUGGGACAUAUUCCCCCGGAAAUACCAGCUUAUUUUUUAAAAUGCGGCAUUUUCUCCCAAAAAUCCCAGCUUGCUCACCAAUAGAUGUCAUUUUCCAACAAAGCAUGCUGUCUUCUCCCAGAAAUGGCAGUUUUCUGAGAAAUACCUUCCAUUUUCUCUCAAAAGUACUACCUUACACUCCUGAAGAGGACAUUUUCUCCCAUAUAGACCCUAUUUGCUCCCCAAAGGACCGGUUUGCACUCCAAAAAGAAGACAGUUGCUCUCAAAUAGAAGACAUUCCUUCCCAGAAUUUCCCCCUUUUCUCCAACAAGUAGGCCAUUUUCUCACAGAAAUACCACAUUUCAGUUGGAAAGCUGACCUUUUCUUCCAAAAGUAGGAUAUUUUCUCCCAGAAAUACCCAUUUUCUUACAACUACCACAGGUUUUCUCCCCAAAAUAUCAGAGGACAAGGCCAAAUUUUGCACUUGCAACCAAGAAUAGGACAUUUUCUCACAGAAAUACUACUCUUCUCCCACAUAUAGGAGAUUGUCUCCAAACUGGAUGGCGUUUCUGGUAAGAAAUACCACUUUUCUUCCCUGAACAGGACAUUCUCUCCCAGAAAAAUAGAGUACUCUUAGAAAUACUUCCCAUUUGUUUUCUUUCCUAGCUCUCUCCCCUUUUCCAUUUUGCUUUUUAAACCUGAAAUACUUUUGUUUACCUUCCAUUCCAAUUUCACUAAAAUUCAGUCUACUAAAUACAACUUCUGCAAUAUCCUGAGUGUGAAAAGAAAUCAGGCGAUGUAAAAUAUAUGCCUUCAGAACCUUCGUUUCUCUGACAGACUAUACCUUUCUAUCCCAAGUGAAUUUGAAAAGAAUGAAAAGCAAGUUAUAGCAAAAUAAAUCUAAAACAAUGAAACAAAUGGAAAAGAUAAUAGCCAUGGAAGUGAACAGGGCACGCCAAGAAAGAAUCAAUCCAUUCUCCCUGAGCAAAGCUGACAGUGGGAUGUGAUCUUCUAGAAUGAAAAGAUGUGCUCAAUUUUUUUAACGAAAGAUGCAGAAGAAGAAUGUGCAGCAAAAAUAAUCAUAAUAAUUAGACAUCUCAGAAACAUAGCCUACAAGCAAAGUCUGGAAGUUACAGGCAUGGGAAUGCUAAAAGGUUGUAUGUGAGCAGUCAUCAAAUAAGUAGUAGGAUGUAAAAAGCAAGAAAAAAUAUCUUACCAUGAGCUAAACUGAAUAGCCGUAGUGACUGACAAUGCUAAAAGGUUAAAAAAGCUGAAACAGAGCACUCAGUGUUUCUUAGUGGUUGCUGAGUUUAUCUUUUUACGUAUCUAUUCAUUUCUCAUAAUAACCAGCACAACUGGAGUGGUUUUGCUUCAAUUUCCUGCUUUAAAACUGUCUGAUCUCAGGUUUUAGCAUACUGUGUAUUCUAUUUAGAAAAGUCUGAUGAGCAGAUUCACAUCUGUUUAAUACAUGUAAAAUACACGUAAAAUGCAGUUUUACUCAACACAUAGUAUAAGAAAAGCUCAACGUUCCUACCUAUGAUGAAGAUAGGAUAUUAAAGAAUUGCUGUGUAUGAACAGUAUUCGUAUGGUGAAAUUUCUCUAGUAUAGACUUAGGUUUUACUUCUGCGUCCCAUUACUCUGCUUACCAUAAAGAAACACUGUUCAGAUAAGUAGCAGCCAUAAUAUUCUGACUACUUUAGAAUAUUCAGAAUUUUUUAAUCACCAGACAGUAACUCACUUCAUCUUUGACAGGAUACACUGGCAGUAGGCUCACAGAAGUAUGAGACUUGGUGAGCAUUAUUAAUUUGAAGAUAUUUGUUUAUUCUGAAAAUGGCCCAGGUUGGAAGGGACCUCAAGAAUCAUUUCUUGCAAUACCAAUUCUUAACAGCAAUUUUACAAUGGAGCAUGAAAACAAAUCCGCUCAAAAUCAAGCCUGGAAUGACACAGCUGGAGAGUUUUCAGGAAACACAGCAGUGAAAGAUAACAUCAAAUAAAUAACCCAACACAGCCACAUUAUUUAAAUUGGCCUUGAAAGCUAUCAGUGUCUAACUACUGUUAUUUUAGAGUUGUGGAUCUCAUUAGCAGCCUCCAAUUUACUCAGCCAGCCGUUAUAAACCUUAGUUUUUCAUAAUUGCACACAGGCCAAUCCAAAAGUAAUGCCUUCUGUUUUUAUAAAGCUGGCCCACAACAUCACAGGUGGAUGCUGGUGGGAUGACAGCAGAGGUUGAACCUUCCUGCCAGCAUUCAGUUACAUUCUGCAGCCAUGCGGCAGAUGGCAGCAGAGGGCCAGAAUGACAGCACAGCACCUGACAUGGAAGUGCUCAUGGAGCACAGGGUGUCCCUGAACUCCUCCACACUGAAAAAAAAUCACACCCACUGACAUCCAUCAAUGCCUGCAGAAUAUUUAUGAAGCCCAACACGUGGAUGUGAGCACAGUGAGGCUUCAGCAGUGGCAACAGCAAUGCAAGGCGAGCCACCCAGACAGCCAAAUGGAUUUAUUUUAAUUAUCAUUUCUUUUUAAACAAGCACAGCAUGCAGGCUCAACACUGGAGGGAAAGGAAAAAAAAAAAGAAAAAGAAAAGGAUAGUUAAUGGUGGUGACCAUGCUAAAAAACAGAGUUUUGUUGAGAGAGCUGAGAAUUCACUUUGUGUAUCUCUUAUCAUUUCUGUGGAAAUAAAUAGGAGGCAUUCCUUUCAGAGCAAUCUACGUACCUCAAUGAGCCACCAUCCUAAUAAUGCAGUAAUACUAAUAAUAGGAACAGAAAAAAACAGACUCUCAGAAUAUCUGUUGUGGGGAUGGAACAACAAAACCAACACUGCAGUCAGCUGCAGUUAUUCCCUGGGAAGGAACUGAUGCCAGCAGAAAGGUCACGACCACUUCCGACACUCAAACCAUAGCAGCAUGUCAGAGCACGCAGCCUUGGAAUAAACCCCAAGGAUAAACCAAAUAGACUGGGAGGUACCAACCUUACAAAUUCACUGUACCGCUGUGUCGUAUGGUAAGAAGAAAAGCAGGAUGUUUGAGACUUUGUCAGGCGCAGAACCUCCAGCACUGGAGGCGAGCAGUUCUGAGUUCUCGGUAUCUGGUCGUAAUUUGCAUGCAUGCACAAGAAGCAGUGCAACUCAAUUUACAAGAGCAACCAAAUGCAUUCAAGGCAUACUUACAAAAGACUCUGAGGUAGAAAGCUGCUCGCUGAGGCGAAGAUCAGAAAUGAGGCAGGGGAAGCCUGACAGAUUGAGAGCGAUUAAGUGUCUGAAUAAAGAAAGGAACAGAAAGAACAGACAUUGCUGGAAUCUAUCAGAUGCCAAUCUUCAUUUGAAAAACAUCCUGUACAUGUAGAAGCAACACAGGAUCAACCGGCAACUAUUUAUCCCACUAUCUCAGUGAUGAUUGCUAUUAUACAAACUCUGUGUAUUUUUCAUACUGCUGUUAGAAAAAACACACAAAUUCCUCCUCCAGCAUGUAAGCAAAUUCAAGUUCAUUUAGGAGUUUAGGUAGAAAAAAAGACUUCUGGUCUCGGUAACACAGCUACAAAAGCACU